rnacentral:tRNA from 1 species
GGUCCCAUAGAGUAACUGGCCAACUCGUCACAAUUUCAAUGUGGAGACUGCGGGUUCGAACCCCGAUGGGACUA